AUGCGAAACAGGGCUUCGGCCCUGUCGUCCGGAGGUGGCGCUCCGGGCCUGAUGAGCAGCCAGGG
rnacentral:hammerhead_ribozyme from 1 species